rnacentral:tRNA from 4 species
GCUGUGUGUCUGGGUGGUGAAGAAGCGGUCUUGAAAACCGUCGGCGAAAAAUCGCUUGCAGGUUCGAAUCCUGUGCACAGCGCCA